rnacentral:sRNA from 1 species
ACUUGUUUGAGACCUGCCUCAUGAAAUCUUCAAACCUGCUAUUGCAGUAUGUUUCGAAGCGCAUUAUUUCAGUGGUUAAGCUCAUUCUGAGUAACUUUGUGAUUAUGGCUAAAACCAAAUGCGCAUUUUGCGCUUGAAUAAAGAUUUAAUUUAGGAAAUACCCAUGUCUAAGACAACUGGCACAGUUAAGUGGUUUAACGAAGAAAAAGGCUUUGGCUUUAUCACUCAAGAAAAUGGCGGCGCUGACGUAUUCGUUCACUUCCGUGCAAUCACAGGUGAAGGCUUCAAAACUCUUGCUGAAGGCCAAAAAGUUGCGUUUGAAGUAGAGCAAGGCCAAAAAGGCCCUCAAGCUGCAAACGUAGAAGUACUAUAAUUUUAUAGUUACUUAGAUAAUUUAUCGCCCUGCAUACUGUAAAGUGUGCGGGGCGAU